GUUCCUGCCGUGAGGGAGUUGUUCCCCUGCUGCUCCCCAGGCCUUCCACUUCAGGGAUCUCUUCAGAUAAAGGGGGUGGCUGGGGCCUGAAAUCUCAGCCCUCUCCCCCAGUGCAGAAUGGCAAGGUCCCAGCACUGACCCCAGCCAUCCAGUAGGGACAGGAAGCUCAGAAAGCAGGCUACUUGCCUCUCAGUGGCUAUGGACCUGGAGCAGAAUUGAGUGAGACGGUCCUUGUCUGCCUGCCAGUCUCCCUUCAGACCCUUCUUCACCCACUUCCACUUGUUCACCGCCUUCCCACUGCCAGCCCAGGAAGAGGGUUAGCAAAGGCUGAGCCAGCUCUGACCCAGUCUCCUCUCCCCACGUUUUGGUGGUGACCUCAUGCUGCAGAAAGUAGGGUUCUCUGAGGCCAAUGGCUGUGGGAAUGGGCAAAGAGAGAAGCUCCUGGGUACCCCAAGGCUGCAGCUCCAGCUCCUGGAGGGGUCAGUAAGAAGCAGCCAGGUCAGCCUGGAGUCCAUUGGGGCUCUCUCUGGCCCUACCUACAGCCCUGGGCAGCUUGGGUCAGGACUGAAUAUGGACAUGCAGGGCUCAGGAGCCAGCCAGGUAAUGGGGCAUGUGGAGCCCAGUCCAUGGCCCUAUAGAGACCUCACAGCCCUAUGGAGACAGAAAUGGAGGGGGCCAUGCUCAAGGCUGAGGGGAUGGAGUGAGGAGACAGGGGGAAACAGGCACAAAGGCUGGAGUUAAGAGAGGCCCUAGGGCCCUGAGGACUGGACAAAACUGGGGGGUAUAGGGCAGGUGGAAUGGGGAACAGGCCAAGGGGCUCACUUCUCCUUCUGCUCCUCUUCCAGGGACCUAUGGACAGCUGCGGCCUGCCCUGGGCCCAGGGCCCUUUGGUGAGUGGAGGUCUUUCAGACUCUGGGGGGAAGUGGUUGGGCAAGCAGGGCGU
rnacentral:lncRNA from 1 species